rnacentral:ncRNA from 14 species
GGGGGCAUGGUGUCAACGGUAGCACACAGGUCUCCAAAACCUUUAGUGUGGGUUCGAAUCCUGCUGCCCUCG